AGUAUUAUACUAUUCUAUAGCCAAAUGAAAUUAUAUGUAGCUAGCUACGUGAUUGGCAGAUGAUCGAUUGAAUGUGUCGACAGAUAGAUUGUUCUAUUCUUAUUAUUAUUGGUUAGCUUGUGAUGUACUACGCUGUGUGAGGAAUAUACAUAUAGAGUUUAUUUGUUCAGAAAAAUAAAGAGUAGGAAAAAUUACUAAAUUUUUGUUUAUUAGAAACAAACAUAUAUAAAUGUUUUAUGAUU
rnacentral:lncRNA from 1 species